GCGCGGCUUGCCGCGACACGUGAUCAAUCUUAACCGAAACAACUGCGGAUGCUGUAAAUCAGGAACAAAACCAGAAGUUGCUGGAAAAGCUCAACAGGUCUGGCGGCAUCUGUGCAGAAAAAAAAGUCAGAGUUAACGUUUCGGGUCCGGUGAUCCUUCCUCAGAGCAGCAACAUUCCGCCCAGUGUUUGCACGCAGGCGCUGCGUCGUUUUGAUGACGUAAGCGGGAGAAUGCAGCUCCUUAAAGUUGCUGACUGAGCAGAAUUUCCAACUCCAGUCUCCUCCAUCACCACAUUGAAGUCAACUGGCCAGCUCGAGAGACAACGGACAGGGAGAUGUGGAGCGUUCGUUAGAUCCUGCAGUCAGGUGCAACUCCAAAAACACUCAAGAAGCUCAACACCAUCCAGGACAAAGCAGCCACUUGAUCUGGCAGCACAUCCACAAGCAUCCAUUCCAUCCACCGCUGAUGCUCAGGAGAAGCAGUAUGUAUCAUCUGCAAGGCUGCAAAAAUUCAAAGAUACAUUUCAAACCAUGACCACUUCGAUCAAGAAGGACAAGAACUCUGUGUCUCCUGGUGAUUCUCUAUGACAAAUUUGGCUCUGCGAGCAGGGUUGUGAAGAGACCUACCCAUAAAGAGGGCGCCAGCAACAGGCCGCUUCUCGGUCUGCCGGGUACGCUCCCAAGACUGACAGAAUAAGGGUACCCAACAAAAAGAGAUAAGCGCUUUUGCUGCUAAUUUGGACUUUAUUCUGUUGGCUUGGGGCAGUCCUCGGUGACUCGGAGGUGCGAGAAUCUGCUGGCGGGCCUCUCUGAUCCAAAAAUCCGAAAGGGAAUAUGAUGGGAAUCAUGCAGGAUUUUCAGUUGUGAUGCGUGACCAGUCCCAGUUCAAGACAAUUAAGCUGGAGACCUGCCCACAACCCUGUUCAGACCAACUGGCUGAGAUUAAGGCAUUAACGGCGGCAUGUGAGCUUCUGGAGGUGCGCAUUACUACAAGGCAACUCUUGGUUCUUCCAACAACCCCCGGACCAGCCCCUUGCUCUACUACUAUGAUUCGACAUCUGAUACGGUGCAGGAAGUGUGUUCUAAAGAAGACGCCAAAACCACUUCGUUGGGAUGUGUGGGCCUUAGAUUGUGAGGGUCCAUGGUUAUUUUUUCCCUGUUCUGGCUAUUAGGGGACAGGUUUUUGGCCCAGGGGACUCCAGGAUCAGGGGAAGGACCCUUUAAGCAUUGGACUUCAAAAUUCACUUGGCCCAUGUUGGGGUCUGCAAUGUUUUCAUUGGCCCACAGGAGGUCUGCACUUAUUGGUUUUUGUUUUAUCUGAGUGAGAUCAGAAGGUAUCAAAGUGGGGAAUGAUGGAGAGUAAAAAUAUAGGGGCAGACGAAGGGAUAAAUCUUACAAUGAUCCGUAGAAUGAUGUACUGAUCUAUGGAAUGUUACAAUAAUCAAUCGAAUGCUGUACCUUAAUACAAUGAGGUGCUUGAGUGUAGCUCAAGGGAAUGUAGAACAAUGGUAGUAUAAUUGCGUUAGCUACUAACGGCAGCUUAAUUCGGCUAAUUAAAGCAUGUGAUAUAGAAGUAAGGGCUAGCAUGAUGUUAAGGGGUCAACCCGAGGCGAAAGACCAUUGUGGCCGAUGUAAUAGUAAAUAACCUAAUCAAGAUAAUGGAUUAAGAUUGAGUUUAGAGUAGGGAGACCACUGUGGUAGAUAUAGUGAUAAAUAAUCACUAUCUUAUUGAUUAAGUUUGAAGUAGAAAAUAACUAUAGUGGCAGAAACAGAAAGAUAACAUAAACUAGCAGCAUUGGCUUACUGCCAAAGUGCAGAAAGAUAACCUCAACUGACACCAUUGGGCAUGCUGAUAACUUUGAAGAAAUCAUGAUAACUAAAAGGUAUAAAGAAUAACGGACCCCGAGAACGGGGACAAUCGAGAAUUUGCUUUCUGGU